rnacentral:lncRNA from 1 species
ACCAGUUGAAGCAGCAUGUCAUCGAUGGAGAAAAAACCAUUAUCCAGAAUCCCACAGACCAGCAGAAGAAGGACCAUGAAAAAGCUGAAUUUGAGGUACAUGAAGUAUAUGCUGUGGAUGUUCUCGUCAGCUCAGGAGAGGGCAAGGUGAGGAGAGUACCAGAGUUGGCAAAGAGGGGUGACUGAGAGUGUUCACCAGACCAAAUGUUACUUAAAUUACUCUUUCAGGCCAAGGAUGCAGGACAGAGAACCACUAUUUACAAACGAGACCCCUCUAAACAGUAUGGACU